CGGCAGCGGCAGUUUUCAUUAGCGGCCGAGCGAGGGGAUGGCGAUGGAUGGGCUGGGGUAGCCAUCAGUCGUAGGGGUCCCUCCUCGAAUUCUUUUUCUGGAGUGACAUGUGCAACCCAGAUGCACACGGUCGGGCCCAGGAUCCAGGUCCCUCACUGCAGGGUGAGGGGACACCGGCCGGGGGCCCUGGGAGCCCCCCCUCACCAUUCUGUGGGCUGUAAGCACCGCCACUCUUCUACUUUUAGAUGUCAGCCACCAGAAAGGCUUGACACACUCCCCACGACCACCCUGCCUACUCGACGUCCAUGUUCACCUGCCGCAGAUGGUCACUGUGAAUUAAUAUCAAGACUGGUACUUAGCUCCUGGGCAAGACUGUGUUCAAAUCUCAGCUCCUCUAGUUACCACCUCUUGGUCUCUGAGAAGGCAGCUUACGUCUCCGGACCUCCGUUUCCACAUCUGUGAAAUGAGAAAAAUGAUAAUUGAUGGUCUCAAAGGUGUUGUGAGGCCUCAUUGAUAUGGGGCCCACCAGAAGCCUAAGGCAAACGGUGCCUGUCAUAGCGCACCCUCAACAAGUGGCUCCCUUUUUCACUGCUAAGUGGCUGUUAUUAACAUUAUUAUUUUAUUGAUUUUUGCUUAUUAUCCACAAAAAUAGACAGUUCUUACCUACAAAUUGGACCAGAAUGGGGCACUAGCUAAACAGUGUGUGUGUGUGUGUGUGUGUGUGUUUGUGUGUAUGUGUCUUUAGAUGGUUUAUACUGAAUUUCCUAGAAAUUUUUCUUUCUUUGAAAAUUUUUCCUUGACUCUGGAGUUUCCUUCCAUUUAAUCCCUGAUCUCUCUCCCUCUCUCUCUCUCUCUCUGUCCUCCAUGCAGUAAAACAGAGCUGCAGGCACUCAAUUUCAAGUCAGUGGGCUGUGAAAAGCAGUUAGAAUAAUAGUUUAUUGACCUGAAUGUGGCAGCUGGAACUGAGGGCAGGCGAGGCUCGGGCGGAGCAUAAUCGUCACAAUGGAGGCUGGAUCAUCUUUGAUCAUUGCCGUGACCUUUAAGAGACAAGAUGUUUGCAGGGAACAUGGCAAGUGCCGCCAGAGCCCCCUCGUCCGGGGGAGAUGGUGCCCAGAGAGGGCCUGGCCUGAUUGGAAAGGAAACAGGUGGCCGGUGGUGGGGAGAGAGCCUGUGUUCCGCAUCCAUCUGUGUUUGUGGGUCCCACACCAUCAGGGGCCCGGGGAUCAGAGCUCUGAGAAACUCUUGACUUCCAUUGGGCCCACUGACCCCCCCACAAUCACGUCAGAGCCAUCAAGAAACACUUCGUGUUUCAGAUCAUCUUUGAGAUUUUGCUCCUAAAUACUGACUUGCCCUUCUUCAUUCGCUGAGGUGAUCAUGGACUUUCUGAUGGCAACAUAAUUAUGAAAUAAAAAUGAACUAAGCUGAUUGAACA
rnacentral:lncRNA from 1 species